rnacentral:lncRNA from 1 species
AAAAAACUACAAUGGUUUUUCAUGGCUUAUAUAGCCAUUGUACAAAGUUUUAAUCUAUUUUUGUAUAUUUGCUGUCACUUCUGCUUUUGGUCUUUGUAAGAGGCAGUCCAAGUGGAGGGCGGUGCUGGCAGAAAUGGCAGAGGCGGUGGCAAAUCUAAGGGAGUUAGGGGCGGCACGGGCUAAGGUUUCUUUUUGUUUUUCUAUUUUUUUGGGUAUUGGGCUAAUUGGGCUUGAAUUGGGAAAUUUUGGUUUUGGGCAUGUCUGGUUUUUGUUGGGUCUGUAAUUUGUUUAGUUUGGAUUGUAAUGAGGUUGUAUUGGGUUUUAUUCUUUAUGGGCCCCGAGUAGAAUUGGCCCACAACAGUUGCCCCUCUUUGCUUAUUGUCGUGUAACGAGAAUGGAGCAAAGACUUUUGAAGGGCCAAUUUUGCCUGGUCUUGCCGAGUCUUGAAUUUUUUG